rnacentral:sRNA from 1 species
GCGCGUUGGGAACGCCGAGAUCAGGGCAAGCCCACCCCGUAAUCUGCGACAAGCCGGUCGGCGUCAUCGGCGUGUUCAG